GGCGGGUUGGCAGAAUUGGCUAAUGCGCCGGUCUUGAAAACCGGUGGGGAUUCUAUCCCCUUGCAGGUUCGAGUCCUGCACCCGCCGCAA
rnacentral:tRNA from 1 species